GACGAACGCUGGUGGCGUGCUUAACACAUGCAAGUCGAACGGGAUUUAGUAAACAGACGCCUCGGUGGAAGAUUACUAAUGAGAGUGGCGAACGGGUGAGUAACGCGUGAGCAACCUGCCUAUGACAGUGGGAUAGCCUCGGGAAACCGGGAUUAAUACCGCAUAAAAUCGUAGAAACACAUGUUUUAACGGUCAAAGAUUUAUCGGUCAUAGAUGGGCUCGCGUCUGAUUAGCUAGUUGGUGAGAUAACAGCCCACCAAGGCGACGAUCAGUAGCCGGUCUGAGAGGAUGAACGGCCACAUUGGAACUGAGACACGGUCCAAACUCCUACGGGAGGCAGCAGUGGGGAAUAUUGCACAAUGGGGGAAACCCUGAUGCAGCGACGCCGCGUGAACGAAGAAGGUAUUCGUAUCGUAAAGUUCUGUCCUAUGGGAAGAUAAUGACAGUACCAUAGAAGAAAGCUCCGGCUAAAUACGUG
rnacentral:rRNA from 1 species